rnacentral:rRNA from 1 species
AACGAACGCUGGCGGCAUGCCUAACACAUGCAAGUCGAACGAGACCUUCGGGACUAUUGGCGCAUGGGUGCGUAACGCGUGGGAACCUGCCCUUAGGUUCGGAAUAACUCCCCGAAAGGGGUGCUAAUACCGGAUCAUGUCUUCGGACCAAAGAUUUAUCGCCUUUGGAUGGGCCCGCGUUGGAUUAGCUUGUUGGUAGGGUAAAAGCCUACCAAGGCGACGAUCCAUAGCUGGUCUGAGAGGAUGAUCAGCCACACUGGGACUGAGACACGGCCCAGACUCCUACGGGAGGCAGCAGUGGGGAAUAUUGGAAAGUGGGGGAAAGCAUGAUGCAGCAAUGCCGCGUGAGUGAUGAAGGCCGGAGGGUUGUAAAGCUCUUUUACCCGGGAUGAUAAUGACGGUACCGGGAGAAUAAGCUCCGGCUAACUACGUG